GACGAACGCUGGCGGCGUGCUUAACACAUGCAAGUCGAACGGAAAGGCCCUGCUUUUGUGGGGUGCUCGAGUGGCGAACGGGUGAGUAACACGUGAGUAACCUGCCCUUGACUUUGGGAUAACUUCAGGAAACUGGGGCUAAUACCGGAUAGGAGCUCCUGCUGCAUGGUGGGGGUUGGAAAGUUUCGGCGGUUGGGGAUGGACUCGCGGCUUAUCAGCUUGUUGGUGGGGUAGUGGCUUACCAAGGCUUUGACGGGUAGCCGGCCUGAGAGGGUGACCGGCCACAGUGGGACUGAGAGACGGCCCAGACUCCUACGGGAGGCAGCAGUGGGGAAUAUUGCACAAUGGGCGGAAGCCUGAUGCAGCAACGCCGCGUGCGGGAUGACGGCCUUCGGGUGGUAAACCGCUUUCGCCUGUGACGAAGCGUGAGUGACGGUAAUGGGUAAAGAAGCACCGGCUAACUACGUG
rnacentral:rRNA from 1 species